rnacentral:rRNA from 1 species
GUCGAGCGACUAUUACAGGGUAGCAAUAUUCUGUGGUGGGAGCGGCGCAAGGGUGCGUAACACGUGGGUAAUCUGCCAUGAAGUUUGGGAUAACCCCGAGAAAUCGGGGCUAAUACUGGAUGUGACAGCUUGGAGGCAUCUCUGGGUUGUUAAAGCUGGGGACCGCAAGGCCUGGCGCUUCAUGAUGAGCCCGCGGCCUAUCAGCUAGUUGGUGAGGUAACGGCUCACCAAGGCUAAGACGGGUAGCUGGUCUGAGAGGACGACCAGCCACACUGGAACUGAGAGACGGUCCAGACACCUACGGGUGGCAGCAGUCGAGAAUUUUUCACAAUGGGCGCAAGCCUGAUGGAGCGACGCCGCGUGGGGGAUGAAUGGCUUCGGCCCGUAAACCCCUGUCAUUUGCGAUCAAACCUUACGACCCAAUACGUCGUGAGUUGAUGGUAGCGAAAGAGGAAGGGACGGCUAACUCUGUGCCAGCAGCCGCGGUAAUACAGAGGUCCCAAGCGUUGUUCGGAUUCACUGGGCGUAAAGGGUGCGUAGGCGGUCGGGUAAGUCUGACGUGAAAUCUCCAAGCUCAACUUGGAAAUGGCGUCGGAUACUAUCCGGCUCGAGGAAUGGAGGGGAGACUGGAAUACUUGGUGUAGCAGUGAAAUGCGUAGAUAUCA